GGGUUGUGAGGUUAAGCGACUAAGCGUACACGGUGGAUGCCCUGGCAGUCAGAGGCGAUGAAGGGCGUGCUAAUCUGCGAUAAGCGCCGGUAAGGUGAUAUGAACCGUUAUAACCGGCGAUACCCGAAUGGGGAAACCCAGUGUGACUCGUCACACUAUCAUUAACUGAAUCCAUAGGUUAAUGAGGCGAACCGGGGGAACUGAAACAUCUAAGUACCCCGAGGAAAAGAAAUCAACCGAGAUUCCCCCAGUAGCGGCGAGCGAACGGGGAGGAGCCCAGAGCCUGAAUCAGCAUGUGUGUUAGUGGAAGCGUCUGGAAAGGCGCGCGAUACAGGGUGACAGCCCCGUACACAAAAGCGCAUGUGCUGUGAGCUCGAUGAGUAGGGCGGGACACGUGGUAUCCUGUCUGAAUAUGGGGGGACCAUCCUCCAAGGCUAAAUACUCCUGACUGACCGAUAGUGAACCAGUACCGUGAGGGAAAGGCGAAAAGAACCCCGGCGAGGGGAGUGAAAAAGAACCUGAAACCGUGUACGUACAAGCAGUGGGAGCCCCACCACCAAAGCAUUCUCUGGUGUUGAAGGCCCUGCAAAGCAGCAUCGCGGUGGCGGAGCGUCGUUUGCGACGCCCAACACAAAAAACAAGCGGUGAGUGCUUUGGGGUGGGGUGACUGCGUACCUUUUGUAUAAUGGGUCAGCGACUUAUAUUCUGUAGCAAGGUUAACCGAAUAGGGGAGCCGUAGGGAAACCGAGUCUUAACUGGGCGUUAAGUUGCAGGGUAUAGACCCGAAACCCGGUGAUCUAGCCAUGGGCAGGUUGAAGGUUGGGUAACACUAACUGGAGGACCGAACCGACUAAUGUUGAAAAAUUAGCGGAUGACCUGUGGCUGGGGGUGAAAGGCCAAUCAAACCGGGAGAUAGCUGGUUCUCCCCGAAAGCUAUUUAGGUAGCGCCUCGUGAAUUCAUCUCCGGGGGUAGAGCACUGUUUCGGCUAGGGGGCCAUCCCGGCUUACCAACCCGAUGCAAACUGCGAAUACCGGAGAAUGUUAUCACGGGAGACACACGGCGGGUGCUAACGUCCGUCGUGAAGAGGGAAACAACCCAGACCGCCAGCUAAGGUCCCAAAGUCAUGGUUAAGUGGGAAACGAUGUGGGAAGGCCCAGACAGCCAGGAUGUUGGCUUAGAAGCAGCCAUCAUUUAAAGAAAGCGUAAUAGCUCACUGGUCGAGUCGGCCUGCGCGGAAGAUGUAACGGGGCUAAACCAUGCACCGAAGCUGCGGCAGCGA
rnacentral:rRNA from 2 species